AACUGAGUCAGUGCCAAACUGACUCUGUAAUAAAAAAACGUUUUCAGUUUCACGAAUGCGUUGGUUUGUUGGUGUACGUUAUAUAGUCUGAUUUGUUUAUAUUUACGACGGCAAAUGUACAGUGUCGACGUCUGGUGGUGAUAUUAGUGCUUGGGAGGUAAAUUGUUAUCCAUCAGAUCAGAAGGGCCAAGUGCAGUGUAAACAUAUAAAAGUUUGAAUGAAAAUUUGUACUUCAUAUUGUUCGAUUACCUAACACAUGUAGUUCUGACACUCACUUAACCAUUUGUCGAUGCAUUUCCUGUUUGUUCCACAAAUAAUUACUAUUAUAAUAUAAAAUCAUUAGACACAGUUUUCGUUCAAUAUGUUUCUGCGAUAUUGGAAAAAACCUCUUAUUUAAUCACAUAAAAUAAAUAUUCAAUACGUUAAAGUAAAUUUUCAUUCAUAAUUUUGAUUUUGAAAUUUAUUCCAACUGAAUAUCCAUCAUUAUUUUCACCUCCCAAUGAAAGCACACGUAGCUUAAUGCCGUCUACUCGAAUAUACUCUUCAAAAUCAGAAUCCGAAUUGGAUUACGCUUCCAAUAAUACAAAAGCAAAAGCAGCAGGUUUUCCAUUUUCAUAGUCUUUAUUUUUAGAUUUUCCAAAAUAAUAUUCGGAACUUGACAGUUCAGUAUAGUUGUAUUGGUGAACCCGAGUGCCAACCCGUGAAACAUCUCAGUGCGAAACUAACAGUUUUCGGGGCGAACUAGUGCGACACUGAGUGCGAAACUGAGUGAAUAAAAAACCGUUUUGACAGCAGUUAGGCCGAUUACACAUUAUCCGGUUUCUGCCGGACCGGUUUGAAACCCAAAUGGCAAAUUUCGAUCGGACCAACCUUUUUACGGCGCCGUGAUGCAGCCGUCUACAGCGACUGCAAUGUCCGGUGACCGGACAAGCAUUAUACGCGAUGACCGUAGAAUAGUGUCGACGUCUGGUGGAGACAUCGGUUUGGGAAAGCAAAUCAUUCUCUAUAAGAUUAUCACACCUCAAGACAGUUUUAAGUUGUUUAAAUUUUUAAUGAAAACUUUUACUUCAUAUUAUUUGAUUGCUCAGAACCUGUGGUAUUGAUUCUUCCUUAACCAUUUUUGUAUAGUUUUCUUGAUAUUUUAACUAAAACUCAUCAUUGUAAUAUACAAUCAUUAUCAGACACAAUUAUUGUUCAGGAGGUUUCCCAACUUGCAAAAGAACGUAUUACUUUAUUACAGAACACAUUUCAUGAGAAGAAGUUAAUUUUCAUUCAUAGUUUUUAUUUUAAGAUAUGUGUUUAAUGCACCUGAAAAUCCAUUAUCACUAUCAUUUCCCAAAAGCGGAGCACGAAGCUCCAUGCCAUGAAAGCGAAUUGACAGUUGUUUGUCAUGUCUGUUAGUAUUAGUACAAUUCAGGCAAUUUUUCGUCUAAUGUAAUAGUAUGUGUGCACUAUUGACGUUUGUUUGUUGAUUUUGAAACCAGUUGAUAAUUUGCAAGUGAUAUGGAUGCUGAAAUUUUUAUUUCACUUCUUCAACAACUACCAGUGUUGUGGAACUAAUUCUGUGAUGCAAGUUUCUUCUCAAAGAGAAGCAAUGGUCACAGGUGCACGAUGUCAUCAUUUAGCAUAUUGCCACGGACUGUGUUAUUAACGGCAACAUCCCUUAUCUGAAAUAAUUAUUGAACGAGUUCGGGGAUGUCAAACAAAUCUUCAAUCGGUUCAUGGAGGGGCGGAUUUCGAGCGGCUUUAUCGAGCUGAAUGAGAAGUUUGACCUGACCGGCGACGCGAUCGACGAAGAGACCAAGGCACUCCAGCCAAAACUGUCAGAUAUGUGCUCUGUGGUCUAAAUGUUCCAAUGCCCGACGCCAAAGCAUCGGGUCUGUCAGAACGAAAUUCCAGCUUAUCUGAUUCGGUCAUUCUUUGCCCCGGAUCCGCGUAUUGAUAGCUGUGAUGCGAAUUGGGCUCGAGAAGCUGCCCAUGCCCCAGGAUUACGUGCUCGAGGAAUUGCGUCAUAUGUUGAGCUCGUUCUUCGACGAGGAUCAGCGGAAGUAGCAAUGGAAUAGUGUUUGAACGAAUUAUGUUAUUUUAUUCGUAAUUUGUUUACUGUAUUAAUGAAAUAAAAAAAAAAACUCUAGAAUGAAUGGAUGUGUAUACAUUCUCUUGUAGGUAAAUUCCAAAAUAAUCACAGAAAGUGAACACAUUAUACAUAUAAAUAAAUAGUGCCUCUGGCUUGUAACGGAAUGUUACUAUUAUUGGUUCAUGAGACUGUUGAAAAAUUAUGUGGCAACAGAGCGUGUGAAAUAAAUCAUACUAUUCGUGUAUGCUUGGAAACGAAAUAAUUAUGCGUAUGAAUGAAUAAACCGCAGCUGGACUAAAGUUAGUUUUUUAAACGUAUUCUGAAGUGGGGCGGAAGUAUUCACGAUAGGUACGGUAAGAACGCCGUUAUGAUGCAGGAUGUGUGUAAUGUCCGUGAGGCCUUUUCUAACUUUGAUCAUGCUCAUGGUGUGCUACACUCCAACAUUCGGCCUUAUGUGAUUUCCAAGGAACAUACAUAUGAGAACGCUCGUGGUUGCCGCAGCAGCUGUGGGUUUAAGGUUUUCCGUCUGCACUCAGCUGCAUGUAACCGGAAUAUUUGAAGCAAUGUUUACCUGUCAAAUCCACAUAUAAAUAAAUGCAUAUAUGUGUUUGUGAGAGAUGUACGGUUUUGUGUAGCGCGAGGUCUCUUUCACAUUGUUGUCCGGUUUUCCGUCCAAACCCAGCGGCGCUUUUUGAAACCGGUCCGGCAGAAACCGGAUAAUGUGUAAUCGCCCUUAGUGCGGCACUGGGGUUGAAACUGAACAAAAACGAAUUCGCUAUAAGCAAUAUGUGCAAUAUGGGCAAUAUGGGCAAACCCUGCAAUCCGACUGGAAAAAAUGGCCAUAAUUUGGGGGAACUACACACGAGCUCUUGGCAUGUGAAACAUACAAAAGGCGUUGGAAUAAACAGGAGCGCUCUUUAAGGGAGUGCUCUAAAGGCACUUUUGUGGAAAUUUUGGAAUGUGCUUCGUCACUAAUUCAACAACAUCCAUCGAGCAUAAACAAUGCCUUCGCUUCGCUGCAAGUUGACGGAAUGGUCGCGGGCUCAGUUAGCGUGGUUAUACCGUUUGUUUUCAAAGUGAAUUUGAUAGUGAUUAUUUGUUUAGCUGGUUCUUUCGACGCAGCUUGGGUCGCUGAGGGAUCUCGGGGAAAAUUUUAAACACACUCUCACGAUGCGGAACACAAAACAAAAUGGUGGACACGAAAUGGUGGGAAGGCACAAUUAAAACACUUUUUAUCGUUGGCGGGAAACAAGUUUUAUACUACAGAAAAAUCUAACAAAACUAAGAACAAAAAAAUAUCGCGGUUUGGAUGGCCACUCAAUUUACGCUUAAUAAAUAAAUCUUUUCUGUACAUAUAUAAAUUUUUAUUUAUGAUUUUCAAACUGGCUCGAGCUCACCGGUUUAGGUUGCAGCCGUUCGCUGCGUUGGUGCACUUCUGGUACCCCUUCGAUGGCUGGAACAGGCGAUGACGGGCAUGGGACGGCUUCGGCAGGACACAGGGACUAUUACACGACGAGGAACCAAACUUUUCACAUGGCACGGCCGGAUGUCACGACGGCCGGCGUCUCUGAUAGACCAGAGGGUCGAGAUAGCGUUUUGUACACUCACAAACUUGUGCACACACACGGUGAAUACCGUGAAGCCGGUAACCGAAAACUCUUGAAUUUUCCUGUGAACUAGCCUUUUUACGUGGCUAGUUCACAUUCGGAGGACAAAACCUUUUUUUUCUUUCGGGAUAUAUUACAAAAAUAAUCACAGUAAUCGCAACGGCGUCCGUCCGUGAUCAAACCUUCGCAAAGACUCCUCGAUUAUCCUUAGUUUUCUCCUCUCAACGCCUUUUCAUCCUUUUCAAAUUCCGUCCAACAAUUGAAUUUCUCGAUCCUGUUCAGGUUCCCUGGUAUUUUUGCAUUAAGGGUCAUUUCCAAUUCGCCACAGCCAUCCCUCUUGUUUCGGUUGGUGCCAGGACUAAUAACAAAACAUGUAAGGUAUAACAUGCUACCUUGGAAAAUAAACUUAACACUUUUUUCCGCAUAAAUAGAUAAAUGAACGAUAAACAAAACAAGCAAGUGUAAAUAAACUUUGAAUGUAUAAAUAAAUAAAUAAAUAAAUGAAUAAGUGAAUGAAUAAAUAAAUAAAUAAAUAAAUAAAUAAAUAUGUAAAUAAAUAUAGUUCUUUUCUACUACUAAAUAAAUAAAAACAACAAAACUAAACUACGAAAAAAAUAACUCUUUCUGAAACACCAACCUGGGGGUCUGCGAUUAACUGUUCAGUUGGUUCUUUACAAAAAUUGGACUCAUACAUCAUCUUUUCUACGACAGUUAAUCACAGACUCCCAAUACUACGUUUUUUUAUUGUUAUAUUAGAAAUGACAGAAAUCAAGUCAAACACAAGAUGUAGAUAUGGACUGUAAAUUUCUCAAAUGACAAUUUUACAAUUUUGGUAAGGUCCAAACCGAUGGUGUGCCUUUCUACCAAAUUUAUCAUUGUAACCCAACGUUUGGUUACAAAUUCCCGGCGCAAACAUGUAACCAAUCCCAUAGUUCGAGGGCAAGUCUCUUCGGUGAUACCUCCUGUUAACUUUCCUACAAAACCGAGUACAGUGGAAAAGCGAAAUCAGGGAAAAUGAUAUAUAUAUUCGACGUCAUCGCUUACCUGGGGAACGUAAAGUACCCGGUCCCCGGCCAUUCGUUGAAUUCUCUUUUUUUUUUUUCAAUGAUGUCCAUUUUGGCCAGAUUCUCCUUCACCGUUUGGACGGUUGUUUCGAUCUCCCGGCUUAAGGAGCGACAGGGAAAGGAUGUUGUAAAUACCAGAUCGGCUAUGUCUGGCGGACACAAUGUGUCUCAGGAUGUCCAACUCCUUUGCUGUGGAGUGAAGCUGAUAGUAUGAAAAAAUCAUGAAGUUGCUUGACAGUGCUGCUGCUUAUCAACAGCCUUGAAUAAUUUUUGUUGUAGGCUUAAUAAACGUAAUAUUUAAGAAAAAAUUGUUCCAUUAAAUUAUUUUUUGUAGUUUUUUUUCAUCGUCAUCCGAAAAUAUUCAAUUUUUGAUGCAUACGUAAACACUAAAUUGAAUGAAAAAUUGAUUGAAAUUUUCGAGCAUUCCAUUCGGUAAUUUGAAGAAAAUUGUUGAAUUUGAAUCGUGCUUGCCACGUUUUAAUGCUCUAACUGAGCGAGUGAUUUUCAGGCGUAAACAAAAUCUAAACCACCGAAAAAACACAACUGAAAAACGAUACUUAGAAAGAAAUAAUACAGAUCAGGUUUGAUUGCAAGAACACAUGUUAAGUGUUUCACGAAUAAAUGAGACUCGCUAAACUAUGGUUUAUUUUCACAUAACGUAUAUACAUAACGUUUUUUUUUGUGUCCCGCGUUAGACCUUUGACCAUCUGGUCACUUUAGUUUAGGUGACAUCAAAAAUCCCAGCUGUCCCUAGAUUGCCGUCAUUUUCAACUUCCCAGUCAUGAUUUAUAAAGUUUUCUGACAGUGUGGAGAAAAUCUUUACGUUCUUUAAUGUUUUAGACUCCAUCAUAACCACUGUCACCGUAAUAUUCACAAUGAUUAUCUCUCUCGUUUUUCUAAUUUAAAUAGAGAGAUGACAGCUUGUAUUGGCCUCCGGGAGUGGUGGUUGGUCGCAAGCAGCUUUCUGACAUGUGCUAUCUCCUUUCUCGACCUCGGUUGAUCUUGGGAGACUUCAACUCUCACGGAACCACCUGCGGGGAACAAUACGACAACAACCGUUCAUCCUUGAUAUAUGACCUUUGUAACAGCUUCAAUAUGAUCGUUUUGAACAAUAUGAUCCUGCUAAACCAAGUGCUCUUGACAUAUCGCUUUGCUCGAAUUCACUACCGUCAGAUUGCAAGUGGAAUGUAAUCCAGGACCCCAACGGUAGUGAUCACUUGCCAAUCACGAUUUCUAUCACCAAUGAAUCAAUAAACAUGGCACCAUAUAAUAUUUUUUAGUAUGAUUAGGGUUGUGCAUUAAGCACGUUAUAGGUAAAUCAGGGAAAAUAACACCUCCCACUCUUUUCACCCUUGAUCUAGAGUACAACAGCCUUGAUCUGUAGUACAAUUUAGCCGGAAACAACUAUCCUCUAUACGGCUAAAAUCACGAGUUGUUUCAUGUGGUCUUCUCACCCCUAGUGGUGGCCAACAUUACCCGGCAUGAUUUCAGUAGCACCAUUUUCAUAUCUUUUUUGUCUUAUCAUAUAACAUUAUGGAAUAAGAAAUAAACUUUCUGAAGAAAAUAUGUCAUCCCACUUAACUCGAGUCGACCAUGAGGAAUCGGUUUCACAUUAUAUUCACCAUAGUAAUAAGAGAUAAUGAUAAUGUUUAAUCGUUUUAUAAAUAUAGAGUUUAGAGACUCCGUGAAACUUACGUAACUGAGUCUGUAAAAAUAAAUGUUUGUUUUUUUAAAUACACCUCAUUGUUCAAUUAUCAUUGAACUCGAUAUUUUUGUCUCCGCAUUACUUUGCGAUGUAUGCUCUCAACGCAUACAAUGAGCCUCGAGAUUUUGGCAUUUUAGCACUUAGCCAUCUUAUUAAAACAAAAAUUUAAAGAAAAUUGGGUUUGGUUCCUCGAGAGUAACUGAGCCGGCGAAAAAAGACAGUCGAUUUACUCGUAUAAUAGAAAUAGUGUUGAAGUCGUAGUGUGAAAGAAACAAAAUAUGCAUCUAAGAUCAAUGCCGGGAAAUUCCCAAUAUCGACCUAUGAAACAUCAUUGUCAAAUGAAUGAAAUCACGUUAACGGAUUAGAUCGGUCAAGCUAUUGUGUAAGCGAUGAUUAACGCGAUCAUUCUGGGGAUAUUUCAAUGAAUACACCUAUUUCCUCUCCAAGGGGGAGGAAUGAUCAAACAUCAACACCAUACCGGAGAAAUUUUCUACAUCUCACUAUUAUUCAGUUAUAGGUGGAGCAAUCUAUACACACCAUUAGAUGAGAACAUUACCGAGUUGACUUAGGUUAAUUUGUAUGGCCUUUCAUUUAGAGCUCAUGCACGAUGAUAUGUAUACAAAUAUUUGGCGAGGCUUGUUACGAUGAAACCAACGUUGGUGUUUUAAACUGUUCCUCACUUGAGAUCACUUUACCAUCUUGUGAAUAAAUGCUUAUAAAAUAAUCAAAUAGUGAAUUUUACGAGAAAAUGCUGCAAAUAAUAAUAAACAAGUCUCUCGGCUGGGCUCGGCAAUAAAUUCAAAGGAGUGUUAUUAACAAUUCGUCUGUCUGAGGAUAAUACAAAUCAAUCACGCAUCACAGAACAUUGGAAUAAACAAUCAUUUAAAUUUCA